rnacentral:rRNA from 1 species
GGGCCCGCACAAGCGGCGGAGCAUGUGGCUUAAUUCGAUGCAACGCGAAGAACCUUACCAAGGCUUGACAUACACCGGAAUCACUCAGAGAUGGGUGCGUCUUCGGACUGGUGUACAGGUGGUGCAUGGUUGUCGUCAGCUCGUGUCGUGAGAUGUUGGGUUAAGUCCCGCAACGAGCGCAACCCUCGUUCCAUGUUGCCAGCAACACCUUCGGGUGGUUGGGGACUCAUGGGAGACUGCCGGGGUCAACUCGGAGGAAGGUGGGGAUGACGUCAAAUCAUCAUGCCCCUUAUGUCUUGGGCUUCACGCAUGCUACAAUGGCCGGUACAAAGGGCUGCGAUACCGCGAGGUGGAGCGAAUCCCAAAAAACCGGUCUCAGUUCGGAUUGGGGUCUGCAACUCGACCCCAUGAAGUCGGAGUCGCUAGUAAUCGCAGA